rnacentral:ncRNA from 2 species
AGAGUUAAAAGUGCGUGAAAUUGUUGAAAGGGAAACGUUUGAACCCAGCCAUGUGGUUGGAAAAUCAGUCUUUGGCUGUGAGGAGUUGCAUUGGUACAGACCGCAAGGCUGUCCGGUGUCUCAUCUUUGUAGUCAGGGAUGCACUUUUUCAAUUGCAGGUCAACAUCAGUUUGCUUUGCUGGAUAAAACUCUAAGGGAAUGUGACAGCUUUGGCUGUGUUAUAGCCCUGGAGCGAUACAGUGGGGUGGACUGAGGCUUUAUUUUGCAGUGUGUGCUCUCGGGCAAGGCUGACUGGGUGCUAUGAGGUUGUCUGGUGUACAAUACAUGUAUUUUGCACUGGGUUGACCUUGUACUCGCUCAACUCAGCUCUUCCACGCUUAAGAUGUUGACAUAAUGGUUUUAAACGACC